rnacentral:tRNA from 1 species
GGCUCGGUAGCUUAGUUGGUAAUGUACUUCUCUAGCGUAUAACAGUCAUGAGUUCAAAUCUCACCUGAGUUU